UACGUAGGGGGCUAGCGUUGUCCGGUAUCAUUGGGCGUAAAGCGCGCGUAGGCGGCCCGGUAAGUCCGCUGUAAAAGUCAAAGGCUCAACCUUUGAAUGUCAGUGGAUACUGUCGGGCUAGAGUCCGGAAGAGGCGAGUGGAAUUCCUGGUGUAGCGGUGGAAUGCGCAGAUAUCAGGAGGAACACCAACGGCGAAGGCAGCUCGCUAGGACGGUACUGACGCUAAGGCGCGAAAGCGUGGGGAGCGAACAGG
rnacentral:rRNA from 1 species